UACGGAGGAUGCGAGCGUUAUCCGGAUUUAUUGGGUUUAAAGGGUGCGUAGGCCGGAUGGUAAGUCGGCGGUGAAAUUCUGGAGCUCAACUCCAGACCUGCCGUUGAAACUGCCGUUCUUGAGUAAAGUUGAGGUAGGCGGAAUUCGUAGUGUAGCGGUGAAAUGCAUAGAUAUUACGAGGAACUCCGAUAGCGCAGGCAGCUUACCAAAUUUUCACUGACGCUGAGGCACGAAAGUGUGGGUAUCAAACAGG
rnacentral:rRNA from 1 species